GGAAGAUGACGCGGGAGUACGUGUCUAUGACAUUGACGUCUCGGAUCUUGGGCAUAGAGGCCUUGAUGACGGUGGCGCCGCGACGGAGGGCGUGCAUCAUCUUAGGUUUGCCAGUGGAACCAUCUGAAAAUGCGGUUUUAAACAAGGAGGGCGUGGUGGGGAGUCGCAUUUAAAAGGCAACGGCACCGAACAGAAUGAUUCAUUAUUACUUUUGUAUUUGAAGAGUAAACACAAUAAUUUCGUUGGACAUGAGUCAUCGUUUGACGGGCUCAAUGCGUCGUUCACAGCGGCUACCUUCCCCCACUCUUGGGCUGCCCCGCGCAGUCUCACCACCAUCACUCAUCACAAGAGGUUCGAGAGAAGACGCUCUAAUAUCAGAAGUGGGAUAUAACACAACGCAAAUGUUACCAACAUCAACACAUUAUUGUUAUUAAACAUUGUAAAUUAAAUAAAUAAAUGGAUCGAACAUUUUCUUAUA